UUCCGGUUGAUCCUGCCGGAGGUCAUUGCUAUCGGGGUUCGAUUUAGCCAUGCUAGUCGUGCGGGUUCAGACCCGCGGCGUAUAGCUCAGUAACACGUGGCCAAACUACCCACCAGACAGGAACAACCUCGGGAAACUGAGGCUAACUCUUGAUACGCGUUGCACGGUUGAACACGGUGACGCUCAAACGCUCCGGCGCUGGUGGAUGUGGCUGCGGCCGAUUAGGUAGACGGUGGGGUAACGGCCCACCGUGCCGAUAAUCGGUACGGGUUGUGAGAGCAAGAGCCCGGAGACGGAAUCUGAGACAAGAUUCCGGGCCCUACGGGGCGCAGCAGGCGCGAAACCUUUACACUGCACGCCAGUGCGAUAAGGGGACCCCGAGUGAAAGGGCAUAUCGCCCUUUCUUUUCUCGAUUGUAGGGAGAUCCAGGAACAAGAGCUGGGCAAGACCGGUGCCAGCCGCCGCGGUAAUACCGGCAGCUCGAGUGAUGACCGAUUUUAUUGGGCCUAAAGCGUCCGUAGCUGGCCAUGCAAGUCCGUCGGGAAAUCCACCUGCUUAACAGGUGGGCGUCCGGCGGAAACUGCACGGCUUGGGACAGGAAGGCUCGAGGGGUACGUUCGGGGUAGGAGUGAAAUCCCGUAAUCCUGAACGGACCACCGAUGGCGAAAGCACCUCGAGAGGACUGAUCCGACAGUAAGGGACGAAAGCUGGGGUCUCGAACCGGAUUAGAUACCCGGGUAGUCCCAGCUGUAAACGAUGUUCGCUAGGUGUGUCACUCACUACGAGUGAGUGAUGUGCCGCAGGGAAGCCGCUAAGCGAACCGCCUGGGAAGUACGUCUGCAAGGAUGAAACUUAAAGGAAUUGGCGGGGGAGCACUACAACCGGAGGAGCCUGCGGUUUAAUUGGACUCAACGCCGGA
rnacentral:rRNA from 1 species